CCCCAGGACAAUUCUUGUCCCUUGUGGAGCAGCACAUGAAUAAGGCAGGCAAGCUCUGAAUAGCCAUAUAUAAAAUCCAAAGAAAAGCCUACCAAUCCCAGGAAAGAUCUCCAGGUUAUGUCCCUGGGAGCUGGUAAUUUGCAGAUCAGAUUGAUUCGAUCAGCAUCUGGACAUCACCCUUCAACUCCAAGGGACCAGCAGCAGUGCCACAUGAAAGCCAAGAAACUGUAGCAGGCAUACCAGGAGAUCAGGGAGGCCAACAGUCAAUCUGGUGUCGAGCUGCGGACUUGCUACUUUUACAAUGAGCAGCAUGGCAUACUGGUGGAGACCUUGCAACCACCCCACAUACCACUAUGGGUAUCUCCAAGGAGUAAAAGUCACAGGUCCUUGGAGUAACCAGCAAGGAGGAGGAAGAGGAGGAGGAUGGGAAAUAUGCAACUGUGGGGUCCAGCUGUACCACAAGGCUGUUCCAUGGCAGAGACUCCACCACAGUCCUGGCAGUUGAACAUGGGCAAGCCUGAUGUAGGGGAAGGAACCCUGGCGUUGACGGGUUCCCCCCCCUACAUCCGCGGCAUGCCUAAGCCAGGUAAGGAGGAAAAAGAAGAUGAUUCAGGAUGAUGUGUUUAGUGAAAUCCUGCAAGGCAGUGCUGCAUUAGGCUGUGAGCAGAAGUCCUGAAGGGCGAAUACUUCAGACUGUAUGAAGAACAAAAGAGCAUAUCAGGAAAGGCCCAGGAGUCCUGCAGGAAGAGGAGAGGGAGCUGCACCAAGACAUAAUGGGGCUUCUCCAGCAGCAAACAGAUGCGGCAGACUCUUGUGGACCUACAAGUUCAACAGGCAUGGGCUCACCACCCUUUGCAGUCAAUGGAGAACUUCAUUUUAGCACCUCCCUGCACCUACCACCCCAACAUUCCAUGUGACAUCAGGGCUGCAUCCCUACCCUAUCACUCCACCAGGGGGACAGUGAGGAGAACUGACCUGUGAGAGCUAUGGUUGAUGUAGGGUGUAGCCAAAAUGAACCAAAAUGGACAGGAAUGUUCUUUCCCCUUGUUAAGUAGUGUUUCAUUCGUUUAUUUCAAAAGUUUCCAUUGUAUUUGCUUUUAAAGUGCACAUAUUUUUUGUUGUGGUUG